GCUGUCUUAAACCCUUACGCUCGCGUGGAUUACCAGUCUCGCAUUUGGGGCUGUCCCUUCUGUUACCAGAAAAAUUCUUUUCCAAUAUCUUAUUCGGGUAUUGGCGAAGCUAAUCUUCCAGCUGAGCUUUUCCCUACUUAUAGCACCGUAGAAUACAAAAUCGAUAAGAUCGAUGUCAAAUUUGCUUCCAGUUCGCAUUUGGGUUAUAGUUGGGCAAACGGGAUGUCUUCAUCUAAUACGUCUUUGUCGUCAAUGGCAUCAUUGGGGACUCCGAGAAUGUCAGCUGGUGUAGGUGCUGGUGGGGAGUUGAAGGGGAUUGGACCUGCGUUUGUGUUUGUGGUGGAUGCUUGUACGGAGGAGGAGGAGCUGAGUGCGGUUAAAAAUGAGCUCUUGUUGGUCAUUGAGCAGUUGCCAGAAAAUGCGCUGGUGGGCUUGGUUUCGUUUGAUUCAAUGGUUAGGGUUUAUGAACUGGGAUUCUCAGAGUGCUCGAGGGUGGUGGUUUUUCAUGGUGAACGUGAAGUUUCUUCAGACCAGAUACAACAAUUUAUGGGUAUACAUUGCACCAAAUUGCUGCAACUUGGAAAAAACCCAUUUGUUCAGAAUCAGGGAUUUUUGCUGCCUAUAUCUGAAUGUGAAUUCAAUAUCACUAAAGAAAUUGAAGAAAUUUGUUCCUUAGCAGUAGUCAUGCCAGGUCAUCGCCCUCAAAGGUGCACUGGAGCAGCAAUAUCAGUUGCACUUGGACUUCUUGAAGGAUGUUCAGUGCAUACAGGCUCCCGGAUUAUGGUCUUCACUUCUGGACCUGCAACUUUGGGCCCAGGGAUGAUUGUGGACUCAGACCUUAGUAAUGCCAUCAGAACUCAUAGAGACCUCAUCAAUGGUCAUACUUCUUACCAUAGAAAAUCUUGCAGCUUCUAU
rnacentral:misc_RNA from 1 species